rnacentral:rRNA from 1 species
UGCCAGACUCCUACGGGAGGCAGCAGUGAGGAAUAUUGGUCAAUGGGCGGAAGCCUGAACCAGCCAAGUCGCGUGAGGGAUUAAGGCCCUAUGGGUCGUAAACCUCUUUUGUCAGGGAGCAAUGGCGUCCACGUGUGGGCGUAUGGAGAGUACCUGAAGAAAAAGCAUCGGCUAACUCCGUGCCAGCAGCCGCGGUAAUACGGAGGAUCCGGGCGUUAUCCGGAUUUAUUGGGUUUAAAGGGAGCGUAGAUGGGUUGUUAAGUCAGUUGUGAAAGUUUGCGGCUCAACCGUAAAAUUGCAAUUGAUACUGGCAGCCUUGAGUACAGUUGAGGUAGGCGGAAUUCGUGGUGUAGCGGUGAAAUGCUUAGAUAUCACGAAGAACUCCGAUUGCGAAAGCAGCCUACUAAACUGCCACUGACAUUGAUGCUCGAAAGUGUGGGUAUCAAACAGGAUUAGAUACCCCGGUAG